UCAAAUUCCUUUUCAUCUUGGAAGUAAAAUAAUCAUAACUAGAAGGCACCGAUGUUUACUGAAUACUCAUUUCAUAAGCCAAAUGUUUCAUUUGGAAGCAUCAUCCAAUUAUGGAGACUUAAUCGAGUCAUUUGAAGUGAAAGAAUUAGCUUCAAGUAAAUCCCUUCAACUUUUUAAUUGGCAUGCCUUUGGUUGCAAAUCAAUACCUGAAAGUUUUUAUGGAGUGUGCAAUAAAUUUAGUGAAAAACUGUGGUGGGCUUCCAUUAGCUCUUCAAGUUUUGGGCUCUUCAUUGUACAACAAAAGUAUGAGCUUAUGGAAAAGUGCAUUGAAGAAAUUAGAAGCAAUGCCUAAUAGAAAAAUUCAAAAGAUUUUAAGGAUAAGUUAUGAUUCUUUGAAAAACGAUCAUGACAAAAAUUUAUUCCUUGACAAAGCUUGUUUAUUUAUUGGGAAAGAUAGAAAUUACACGACUACAAUUCUAGAUGGUUGUAAUUUUUAUACAACAAUCGGAAUUGAAAAUCUAAUAGGUAGGUCUCUCCUAACUAUUAAUGAAAAAAACAAGCUAAUGAUGCAUCAAAUGAUCAGAUAUAUAGGAUGAGAAAUUAUUCGUCAAGAAUAUCCUGAUAUUGGAAAAUGAAAUAGGUUAUGGCAUAAAGACGCAUUUGAUGUAAUAAGAGAAAAAGCGGUAAGAAACUUCCUUUAUUUUUUUCUUAUUUAUAUGUAUCUAAAUUUUAUUAAAUUGUUAUUGUUUCUAAUACAGGGUUUAAAAAUAAUCAAGUGCCUCAUCCUCAACUUACGAGGAUCAUUGGAAAGCAAGUCUAAAAGGACAACUACAAGUCUACAUUUUCCAAAGCAUUCUAAAAUUCAGUUUCUCGAUGACGGUAUGCAAACUCAAUCAUUUGCAAAGAUGAAGAUACUUAAAUUGCAUCAGUUGGAUUAUGUAAAACUUAAAGGAGACUUCAAAGACUUUCUGAUAAGCUUAAUAUGGAUAUGUUCGCAUGGAUUUUUUAAGCAAUCUCUUCCGGUAAAUUUUGAUAUCAAAAGACUAGUUGUUCUUGAUAUUUGCAACAAUAACCUUAAACAGGUUUGGAAGGAUAAAGAGGUAUGUUACCUACUAAUUUCCCCUUUUUUGGGGUUUGAAACCAUAAUACAUUUUGUAGAAGAAGACAGUUUUCUUUUUCCUCGUUUUUGCAAUGUCUCUCAAAUUUAAAGAUACUUAAUUUCAACCAUUCACAUAGCCUUAUCAAAACCCCAAACUUUUCAGGACUUCUAGUCUUUAGAAGUUGAUGCUCAAAGACUGCAUAAAAUUGGUGAAGGUUGACCAGUCCAUUGGUGAGCUAAAGAUGCUUACUUUCUCUAACCUUAAAGAUUGUAAAAGUCUUAGGAAACUUUCUAGGAGAAUUGGUUCAUUAAUAUCAAUUGAAGAGCUUAAUUUAUCUAGUUGUUCAAGACUUGAUGAUGUUCCCAGGGAGCUGUGUAAUAUGAAAUCAUUAAAGGUACUUAAUUUAGAUGAAACUGCCAUAUAUCAAGCUAGAUUGUGGUUUCCCUGGCUUUUAUCAAAAAGAAGCAAAGAAUUGGAUUUCUCUUUGGCAUUUUUACUGUGCUCUUUGGUAAAAUUAAGUCUUGAAAGUUGCAGAUUAUAUGAAGAUGUCAUUCCCGAUAAUCUUUGGAAUUUAGAUUCCCUGAAGUCAUUAAAUUUAAGUAGAAACCCAAUUCAUUGCUUGCCUAGAAGUAUAAAAAACCUUAAAAAACUUGAUGAACUUCUAUUGACUUUUUGCACUGCACUCCAAAUGAUUCCAAAGCUUCCAGUGUUGUUAAAUUUUGCUAAGACAUUUGUGUCAAUAAAGAGCAACAUAAUAGUUCAUCGUUCAAAUAUUCUGCAUUGUUUUUUUAAUUCCAAAUGUUGUGUUAUUUUUGGAUGUGAAAGAUUAACUGAAGUUCAAGGUAUAUUCGAGUUGGAACCAAUUGAAAACUUUGAAGCUGAAGAGAUUAAAUGAUUAUUCGACGUGGGCUCUAUUGACAGAAAUCAAGCUCAAGUUUAUAACUUUCUAACAGACAGAACAAUGCUUUAUACCCUACAGGUCCAAUAUAAGUUAAAGUUUAUGUCCAUUUUUUCCCUUAAUCUUAUUUAAUCAAAACAUCUGUAAUUAUCUUAUAAUUUUUAUGGAUCAGGUGUUGCAGGAAUGUCGUAUAACUAGCACCUUUGUUGUAGGAAGUGAAGUUCCAAUUGGGUUUAAGCAUUGCACUAACGAGCAUUAGAUAUCUUCUUCUUUUUUUUGCCAACACCAUCUCAUCUAGAAGAAAAGAUCCAUACUUCAAUUUCUGCAUCGUUUUUUCAAUUCUUAGUGAUCAAAUAAUGGAAUUUGCACCAAGUGUGAGGAUUUGUAAUGAGACAAAAAGGAUCAUGUGGAUUCAUCGCUCAUGUUUCAUUGGAAUUCCUAAGACUAAGGAUAACACAUUGUUAUGGUUAAUCCAUUGGCCAGCAAUGGAUUUUCAGCUAGAUGGUGGUGACCUUCUGUUAAGGUUCAUGUGUAUCAGCUUAAGGAGGUUAGAGUAGUUAGUCAGUUAGUAACAGAAGCAGUUUAUAUCAACUACUAAUCUGUUGAGAGUAGUUGUCCAACAAGUCUAUAUAUACAAUGCUAUCAAUGUGUAAAGUUGAGUAUGUUGAAAUACAGAGAAUUCAGUUCAGUUUAUAUCCAGUUAUUUCUUUCUAAAAUUUAGAGUGUAUUACCUAUUUUCUUUCAUGGUAUCAGUCGCUUUGUGAUCCUCGGAGCUAUGGCUAACUCGAAUUUCGCUGAUUCUUCCUUGGUUGAUGGUGGUUGGGCUGUUUUCACUGAUGAUAGUGUUGUGAACUCGUUCCCUCGGCAUGAGAUUGUAAAGCUUGAUUAAGGAACCUUCUUCCAAUGGAAACAACAGGUACGGUUAAUCCUGUGUGGCUAUGAUUUGAUAAGAUUUCUAGACAGUACCUUAUUUCUACCAGUGAAGUUCAUUCAAUCUCCAGACGGUUCUCUUGCUCCUAAUCCGUCCGUGCUGAUCUUUAUGUAACAAGAUCAUUUCCUCACUUCGUGGUUGCUGUCCACGAUACAUGGUUCUUUGCUGUCCUCCUUCACGGAGGCUAGGACGGCUUGCAAUGUGCGGACUAUAGCGAUGAGUCUUUUCGUGGCCUACACUAGUACUAAACAAUCUCAGAUUCGUCAUGACCUUCAUUCUCUCAAGAAAUGUAUGCUUUCAAUCAAAGAUUACGUUACUCGUAUAAAGAAUCUUUGUGCGCUCUUGGAAGCCUCAGGUACUCAGAUUUCUGAGGCAGAGAAGACGGGCAUUCUGACUACCGGUCUACCUACUGAAUUUGAUGCUGUCGUUUCCUCAGUGUUUAUCUCGUCCGGGCUGGUACCAUUUCAAAGGCUCGUUGAUGCUCUACUUGCAUUUGAGAAUCGUCAAUUACAAGUGGUUCAGGAGGUGAUUCUACAUGCCAACCUCGUGGAGGCAGGUUCGUCAUGCGCACCUGAGGUCUCCAUCCGUGGUGGUUGUCUUCCGUCCGGUGGCCGUGGGUUAAAGUUCCGUCCGCACAUUCAAUGUCAGAUCUGUAAUAGAUUCGGGCAUCUUGCUCAGCGGUGCUAUUACCAUUUUCACAGUGAUUUUGGUGGCUCGUCCGUGAUGGAUCGGGUGUCGCGAAGUGGUGAUGAGCCUACUCUGGCAUUGGGCAGUGGUCCAGGUCCGAUGGCCUAUGCGCCGAACGUAGAUUUUGCUGAAAAUGGUGGCCCUCUCAACGUAUGCGGUUCUCUUAUGGUCAAAAUUCAGCUGGUUAAAAUCAGCCUGGUCAAAAUUGGUGUCCAGUUGGUGAUGUGUAUGAGUUUCAAGAUGGGUCAGAUGUCCCACGUUUUACUCGGCCUAGGAGUGUGUUUCGUGGGCCAUAUAGGCCGACUUUCAACAUGGCUAAUGAGCCAUUUGGGCCUGCAAAUUUCAAGUUUAAUAGACCAGUUUUCA
rnacentral:lncRNA from 1 species